rnacentral:rRNA from 1 species
AUUGAACGCUGGCGGCAUGCUUUACACAUGCAAGUCGAGCGGCAGCGCGGGGGCAACCCUGGCGGCGAGCGGCGAACGGGUGAGUAAUACAUCGGAACGUGUCCAGUAGCGGGGGAUAACCUGUCGAAAGAUAGGCUAAUACCGCAUACGACCUACGGGUGAAAGCGGGGGACCGCAAGGCCUCGCACUAUUGGAGCGGCCGGUGUCGGAUUAGCUAGUGGGCGGGGUAACGGCCCACCAAGGCGACGAUCCGUAGCUGGUCUGAGAGGACGACCAGCCACAAUGGAACUGGGACACGGUCCAGACUCCUACGGGAGGCAGCAGUGGGGAAUUUUGGACAAUGGGCGCAGGCCUGAUCCAGCCAUGCCGCGUGAGUGAAGAAGGCCUUCGGGUUGUAAAGCUCUUUCGGCGGGGACGAAACGGUCCGUGCCAACACCACGGACUAAUGAUGGUACUCGCAGAAGAAGCACCGGCUAACUACGUGCCAGCAGCCGCCGUAACAC